rnacentral:lncRNA from 1 species
UUUUCUUAAAACAUUUAAUCUGUCAAAAUCACGUUUUCUAAAUGUUCUUAGAAUAUUAACCUUCCUGGAAACUUUUCUAAAUCCGACAGCAGAUACAGAUGCAGAAAUGGCCUUCAGCUGCUUCAUGUUCCUGUUUCAUGUGUGGAUUCAGCUAGUUUUUAACUGUGUCAGAGCUGAAACCUCAUGCAGAAAUGAGCUUAUCAGCAGGAUUAACUUCUCCACUCCACUGCAGUCUGAUGUUCUGCUGCCCUGUAACUUCAACUCGAGUCUCCUCGGAUCAGAUCUGACUGCAGAUAUAGCAGCAGUGUGGAGUUAUAAAAAUAUAACAGAGGAUAAUCUACUGGAGAUCAGUCUGCAGGGUGUAGUAAUGUUCUGGAAUAACAGAGAGGGACGAAUUAACCCGUUCCCUAAACUCUCAACAUCUGGAAACUUCUCCAUCCUCCUCCAUAAAGUGAAUAAAUCUGAUCUGGGUCUGUACCGCUGUGAACUGUUUAACGGGAUCAACUGCAGCAUCGCUUAUCAGGAAAUUAUUUUAAAUUCUAGAGAUCAUCCUAAAGCUGAUGGUUUAAAAACAGUGCUGAUCACAGCAGCAGCUCUAGGAGGAGGAAUCGUUCUGCUUAGCUUACUGAUAGUCAUUUGGUUCUGCUCAAAACGAAACAUAAAUACCCGGGUAGAGACGGGUGUGUGCAGUACGUUACAUCACUCCCACACAGAGCACAUCGAAUGCCAAUAUACACUGGAUAAUCCUAUAUACGACACAUUUAUUCAGACAGAAACAAACAACCAUGCCAAAGAAGAAGAAGGUAUUUCACCUGAUGCUCCAGUCUACGCCAUCGUCAAGAAAAAGAAAAAGAGCACCAACACUCAGAGGAACUAGACUGAACAGGUUCCUUAAUCAGAACUCUGAUGGGGAUUUAUUUUAGUUAACAUAUGUGAUAAAGAUGUCUGUACAUAAAAGGUCAGUGUAAAAUUAUACUAUGCAACUAUGUCUUUUAGGUGUGUUACAGUGUUAAUAGAUACUGAUAAAUAAAAAGACUCUAACUGCUUUUUGUUGGUGAGCU